CGUACGGCUCAGUCCCAUGUAGUCAACCUGCCCUGGAGACAUGGACAACCCCGGGAAACUGGGAUUAAUCCGUGAUAGGUCAUCUCAUCUGGAAAGAGAGAUGGCUUAAAGGGGUGCGCGGGCUUCUUCCGCGUAUUUGCUCCAGGAUGGGACUGCGUCCGAUCAGGCUGUUGGCGGGGUAAUGGCCCACCAAGCCAGUAACCGGUACGGGCCUUGAGAGAGGUGGCCCGGAGAUGGACACUGAGAGAAGGGUCCAGGUCCUACGGGGCGCAGCAGGCGCGAAACCUUCGCAAUGCGCGAAAGCGUGACGAGGUUAAUCCGAGUGAUUUCCGCUGAGGAGAUCUUUUGUCAGCUGUAAAUAGGCAGGCGAAUAAGGGGAGGGCAAGCCUGGUGUCAGCCGCCGCGGUAAUACCAGCUCCUCGAGUGGUCGGGGCGAUUAUUGGGCCUAAAGCAUCCGUAGCCGGUUCCGUAGGUCCUCUGUUAAAUCCAACCGCUCAACGGUUGACCUGCAGAGGAUACCGCGAGACUAGGAGGCGGGAGAGGCGGACGGUACUCCGCGUGUAGGGGUAAAAUCCUUUGAUCCGCGGAAGA
rnacentral:rRNA from 1 species